CUGGAACAUGAACGGAUUGAAAAUUGUCUUCCUCGCCUGCAUGUAAACAGUUUAAUAUUUUACAGAAAGAAGUUCAUCUUGUAAAUUAGUGGCACCAGAAGCCAUAUGCAUCCAGGAGAAACCAUGCUUGGGUGUGAAUUGUGGGCGAAUGAGGUGAGGUGAGGCCUAGGCCUCUGCCAUGGUGUGGAACAGUGGCCAUGAGUCCCUCACAACGGCGAACAGGCGACAUUCUCUGGGCUGUGCUACAAAGCUGUGCGGCUCAGUAGCACCCCAGCUUCCCCGUCUCCAGGCUGUGCCUACCCUGAGUGGCCUCAGCAGAAACACCUCUGCCUGCCUUCCAGCAGCCACCCUGGUCUUAGCCUCUGGAGGGAAGGCAGAGGAUGAAGGGUGCCUGUUGUUCUUCUCGUCACACCUCUUGGCUUCCUGACAGUGGCAGGGAGGAGAAGAUGUGUGGUCUCACAGAGGAAAAGCAGUCUACUCCCGAACCUGUUGUCCUUCCAACUCUGGC
rnacentral:lncRNA from 1 species